rnacentral:rRNA from 1 species
GACGAACGCUGGCGGCGUGCUUAACACAUGCAAGUCGAACGGAAAGGCCUGCUUUCCCUUGUGGAUUGCGGGUACUCGAGUGGCGAACGGGUGAGUAACACGUGAGUGAUCUGCCCCCAACUUGGGUAUAAGCCUGGGAAACUGGGUCUAAUUCCCGAUAGGACUGCAGGGUGGUGCCUGUGGUGGAAAACGAUUUUCUAGUGGUUGGGGAUGAGCUCGCGGCCUAUCAGCUUGUUGGUGGGGUAAUGGCCUACCAAGGCGGCGACGGGUAGCCGGCCUGGGAGGGUGGACGGCCAAAUUGGGACUGAGACACGGCCCCGACGCCUACGGGAGGCAGCCGUGGGGGAUAUUGCACCAUGGGCGGAAGCCUGAUGCAGCGACGCCGCGUGGGGGAUGACGGCCUUCGGGUUGUAAACUCCUUUCGACCGCGAGGAAGCCACCUGGUUGGAAGGGUGGUGACGGUAGUGGUAGAAGAAGCACCGGCUAACUACGUG